GAUUAGAAAUACCUGCAGCAGAACUUUGCUAGAGGUGGUCCGGGAGAUGGAAAGUAGCAGAGGUCAAGAACUUGAUUGUUCUGGAGUCACUGAAGAGAAUCCCAGGGUGGAAGCCAAGAAUUUCCAAGGGCCCCUGAGUUCCCAGCCCUGCCAGAUCAUCUUCCGGAACAGCUCUGUGGAUCUGAGCGCCCCACGAGGGUAUGCAUUUUCUCAAGUCGAGCACGCUGUGAUUUCUCAGGAAGAACUGGUCCGUUCUUAUGACACCACCAAAAGCAAAACCAGGAGGACUUUUUCCACUGCCUUUUCCGAGUCCAUCUUCGAGUAAGGUCUGGGCCCUGCAUCCUGCACGUUCACGUCCUUCCCUGAGACCGAGUCCUCGAGCCAGCGUGUCUCCACACGGCUUCCCGCGGCUCUGGCUGGGUGGUUACGUAUGUAUCCAUGGAGGCGUGAUCCUUGGCUAUAAACGAUGGGGACCCCUCUUUGCUUUUUCUCAGUUUGUCCUCAGUGUUUUACGUUCUGUAUUUAGUUUUCUGUGGCGAGGAGCCACUUUAUCAGUUCAGUCUGAAGGAUAAAAUUCAAAGCAUUAUGUUUCCCCCAGAUUUAAAUUUUGGUCCAGGUUGUUUUGGGAAAAAAGGUAAAGGACAUGAAGUUACAGAGUGAGCUUGUCUUGCUUGAUGGGAAGGGGGUGCAGCAACUUUAUCUUUUGCAAACUCACAGAUUAAGGGCACAAGGCGGGAUAUAAAGCACUUUUCGACGCGGAAGUCCUAUCGUGUUUGAGUUGUAUUGUGUGUGUCUGAAAGGUGCACCGGAUUCUUGAUUUCGAGGAACUCACACAACGAGCGUGUGUGGCACAGACUAACCUUGGGCCUCAGAAUGACCACAUCGCGUUAUGCUCCCUCUGAUCCCUCCGUGCACCAGGGCUGGUGGAAAAUUCCACCUCAGCCGUUCUUGUGGCUCUGCCUUAGGCGAGUGCAAACUUCCCAGGGUUUCAGACCCUAACAUUUCUCUCCUAGGAUGCGUUGCCUCCUCAGUGCACUUGGAGGCACAAAGACGGGUCUUUCAAUCCCGUCCUGUAGCCCAGGGGAGAGGCCCCUUUCUCAAGCCUUAUUCUCCUUAGUGAGUUUUUAAGAAGCAAAGGCCAAGAAUUCUCGAGGGCUGCUUCUGUUUACUGUGCCAUUAGAUGACUCCUCUGAGGAAAUGAACUGAAAAGCCUGACACUUGUUAGAAUGGAGCUAAGGCAACAAGGAAAACAGCAGGAGAAAAGCCUGAUAAAUAUCUCAAAAAUUUACCCACAAACAGAUAAACAAAUCUGCUAUAUCCAUACAAUGGGAUGUUAUUUGGCUGUAAAAAGAAUGGAAGAUGCAUGACAUGGAUAAACCUUAAAAACAUUAUGCUAAGUAAAAAAAGCCAGUUUUAAGGGGCCACAUGCAAUAUGAUUCCAGUUACAGGAAACUCAUUAGCAAGUCUAUCCAUAUAGACUGGCGGUCGCUUUGGGUUGGGGGGAGUGGAUGUCGCCCAGAAUGUGGAGUGACUGCCCGUGGGCACAGUGUUUCUUUUGAGCAUGAUGAAAAUGUCCUACAUUUAGACGGUGGCACAGUUUGCAUGAUUCUGUCAUAUUCUAAAAAUAAUGAAUUAUAUGCUUAAGGGUGGAUUUUAUGGUAUAUGAAUUACAUCUCAGUAAAGCUGUUGGGUUUUAAAAUCACCUAAUAAAAUUAAGAGAUUUUGAAGC
rnacentral:lncRNA from 1 species